UACGGAGGAUGCAAGCGUUAUCCGGAAUGAUUGGGCGUAAAGCGUCUGUAGGUGGUUUAGAAAGUCUACUGUCAAAUACCAAGGCUCAACCUUGGGCAGGCAGUAGAGUACUUUUAGACUAGAGUGUGGUAGAGGUAGAGGGAAUCCCUAGCGUAACAGUGAAAUGUGUAGAUUUUAGGGAGAACACCAGCGGCGAAGGCGCUCUACUGGGCCAAGACUGACACUGAGAGACGAAAGCUAGGGGAGCGAAUAGG
rnacentral:rRNA from 1 species